rnacentral:rRNA from 1 species
GACGGAAGGUGCAAGCGUUGCUCGGAAUCACUGGGCGUAAAGGGUGCGUAGGCGGCUUGGUAAGUUGGGUGUGAAAGCCCCGGGCUCAGCCCGGGAAGGGCACUCGAAACUGCCGAGCUAGAGUGCCGGAGGGGAGAGUGGAAUUCCUGGUGUAGCGGUGAAAUGCGUAGAUAUCAGGAGGAAUACCGGUGGCGAAAGCGACUCUCUGGACGGCAACUGACGCUGAGGCACGAAAGCGUGGGGAGCAAACAGG